rnacentral:rRNA from 1 species
GACAGAGGGUGCAAGCGUUGUUCGGAAUUAUUGGGCGUAAAGGGCGCGUAGGCGGCGACGUAAGUCAGGUGUGAAAGCCCGGGGCUUAACCCCGGAAGUGCGCCUGAUACUGCGUUGCUUGAGUCCCGGAGAGGGUGGUGGAAUUCCCAGUGUAGAGGUGAAAUUCGUAGAUAUUGGGAGGAAUACCGGUGGCGAAGGCGACCACCUGGACGGAGACUGACGCUGAGGCGCGAAAGCGUGGGGAGCAAACAGG